rnacentral:rRNA from 1 species
GACGAACGCUGGCGGCGUGCUUAACACAUGCAAGUCGAACGAAGUGGCGAACGGGUGAGUAACGCGUAAUCAACCUGCCCUUUAGAGGGGGACAACAGUUGGAAACGACUGCUAAUACUGCUUACUGAAGGAGGGGAUUGCGUCUGAUUAGCUAGUUGGCGGGGUAACGGCCCACCAAGGCGAUGAUCAGUAGCCGGGCUGAGAAGAUGAACAGCCACAGUGGGACUGUGACACAGCCCAGAAUCCUACGGGAGGCAGCAAUGGGGAGUCUUCCGCAAUGGACGGAAUUCUGACGGAGCAACGCCGCGUGAGUGAUGACGGCCUUCGGGUUGUAAAGCUCUGUUAAUCGGGACGCGGUACCGGAAUAGAAAGCCACGGCUAACUACGUGCCAGCCGCCGCGGUAAUAC